rnacentral:rRNA from 1 species
UACAGAGGUCCCAAGCGUUGUUCGGAUUCACUGGGCGUAAAGGGUGCGUAGGUGGCUGGGUAAGUUCGGUGUGAAAUCUCCAGGCUCAACCUGGAAAUGGCAUUGAAUACUAUUCAGCUCGAGGGUUGUAGGGGAGACUGGAAUUCUCGGUGUAGCAGUGAAAUGCGUAGAUAUCGAGAGGAACACCAGUGGCGAAGGCGAGUCUCUGGACAACUCCUGACACUGAGGCACGAAAGCUAGGGGAGCAAACAGG